ensembl:miRNA mir17-1 microRNA mir-17-1
GUCUGUGUAUUGCCAAAGUGCUUACAGUGCAGGUAGUUCUAUGUGACACCUACUGCAAUGGAGGCACUUACAGCAGUACUCUUGAC